rnacentral:rRNA from 1 species
UACGAAGGGGGCUAGCGUUGCUCGGAAUCACUGGGCGUAAAGCGCACGUAGGCGGAUUGUUAAGUCAGGGGUGAAAUCCUGGAGCUCAACUCCAGAACUGCCCUUGAUACUGGCGAUCUUGAGUCCGGGAGAGGUGAGUGGAACUGCGAGUGUAGAGGUGAAAUUCGUAGAUAUUCGCAAGAACACCAGUGGCGAAGGCGAACUACCUGGCCUGUUCUUGACGCUGAGGCGCGAAAGCUAGGGGAGCAACGGG